rnacentral:rRNA from 1 species
UAGGGAAUCUUCGGCAAUGGACGGAAGUCUGACCGAGCAACGCCGCGUGAGUGAAGAAGGUUUUCGGAUCGUAAAGCUCUGUUGUUAGAGAAGAACGUUGGCAGGAGUGGAAAAUCUACCAAGUGACGGUAACUAACCAGAAAGGGACGGCUAACUACGUGCCAGCAGCCGCGGUAAUACGUAGGUCCCGAGCGUUGUCCGGAUUUAUUGGGCGUAAAGCGAGCGCAGGCGGUUCUUUAAGUCUGAAGUUAAAGGCAGUGGCUUAACCAUUGUACGCUUUGGAAACUGGAGGACUUGAGUGCAGAAGGGGAGAGUGGAAUUCCAUGUGUAGCGGUGAAAUGCGUAGAUAUAUGGAGGAACACCGGUGGCGAAAGCGGCUCUCUGGUCUGUAACUGACGAUGAGGCUCGAAAGCGUGGGGAGCAAACAGG